rnacentral:rRNA from 1 species
AUUGAACGCUGGCGGCAUGCUUUACACAUGCAAGUCGAACGGUAACAGGCCGCAAGGUGCUGACGAGUGGCGAACGGGUGAGUAAUGCAUCGGAACGUGCCCAGUCGUGGGGGAUAACGCAGCGAAAGUUGCGCUAAUACCGCAUACGAUCUAUGGAUGAAAGCGGGGGACCGUAAGGCCUCGCGCGAUUGGAGCGGCCGAUGUCAGAUUAGGUAGUUGGUGGGGUAAAGGCUCACCAAGCCGACGAUCUGUAGCUGGUCUGAGAGGACGAACAGCAACCCGGGGACUGAGACACGGCCCAGACUCCUACGGGAGGCAGCAGUGGGGAAUUUUGGACAAUGGGCGCAAGCCUGAUCCAGCAAUGCCGCGUGCAGGAAGAAGGCCUUCGGGUUGUAAACUGCUUUUGUACGGAACGAAACGGUCCUGGUUAAUACCCGGGGCUAAUGACGGUACCGUAAGAAUAAGCACCGGCUAACUACGUGCCAGCCGCCGCAGUAAUAC